rnacentral:rRNA from 1 species
UACGUAGGGUGCAAGCGUUAAUCGGAAUUACUGGGCGUAAAGCGUGCGCAGGCGGUUGUGCAAGACAGAUGUGAAAUCCCCGGGCUUAACCUGGGAAUUGCAUUUGUGACUGCACGGCUAGAGUGUGUCAGAGGGGGGUAGAAUUCCACGUGUGAGCAGUGAAAUGCGUAGAUAUGUGGAGGAAUACCGAUGGCGAAGGCAGCCCCCUGGGAUAACACUGACGCUCAUGCACGAAAGCGUGGGGAGCAAACAG